ACUGGAUUUCGGGGCCCGUGAACUGCUUCUGGCUGUCCAUAGCCUGGGAGUGGGCAGGGGUGAGCCGGGGGGGGGGGGGGGGUAGGUCAGAGGGGUGGCCUGGGGAGCCACAGUGUGGACUUUUCGUAAAGACAGAAGAUUCCAGAAUCGCAACCAGCACCCAGGGCUGAAACCCGGCAGUUUGGUACAGACCGGGCUGAACCAGCCAUUCAAAUACCGAAAUCCUGCAUUUCCGCAAAGCUGAGCCCCCAUCCACUCCUUUUUCAGAGAUGGUAAGGUGUGAAUUGACGAAACUCAGCUCUUAUGUAGUAAUUGGGAAAGAAACGGUGCCCCAGGCUCUCCAUGUGGCAUCCUGGUUUGCCCUGCUGGCCUGCUGUCUACCCUCCCCACUUGAUGGCACCUGUGGGCUACACGGGAGGCUCUCUGGGACCCUGUGGCUGCAGCUAGGUCUGUCCACUUGGGGUCAGGGAGCAGGAAAAGAAUGGAGCUGCAGCAUUUCCCUCCCUGGUUUCCUCCCUGUGCUGGCCGUGUGCCUCCUUCAAAAGUGAGCAGCCCUUGUAGGUAACUACUCUCUCCUCCAGGCCAGCCCCUUGAGGCUAGGGCCCGGCUAAUACACGCCACCCCCACCCCAAACCUUCCCCAAGGCCCUUUUGUGCUGUCCCCACCCCUUUCCGGCAACUACAGGAUGGACGGAUGACACCGUGGAGGGCUCUGAAUUUCAAAUGGGAACAGUCAUGUGCCCGUCACCCCAGAAGUAACAAUUGGUCAUGCUGACACGUUCUUCAAAUUCUACAUACUUAAGAGCUAAAACAUUGCAGGUCACGAUCUCACGGUUAGUGGGUUGGAGCCCCGCAUCGCGCUCUGUGAGGACAGCUCAGAGCCUGGAGCCUGCUUCGGAUUCUGUCUCCCUCUCUCUCUCUGCCCCUCCCCCACUUGUGUUCUGUUUCUGUCUGUCUCUCAAAAAUAAAUAAAAUGUUACCAAAAAUAAAAAA